AGUGAACGCUGGCGGUAGGCCUAACACAUGCAAGUCGAACGGCAGCACAGUAAGAGCUUGCUCUUACGGGUGGCGAGUGGCGGACGGGUGAGGAAUACAUCGGAAUCUACUUUUUCGUGGGGGAUAACGUAGGGAAACUUACGCUAAUACCGCAUACGACCUACGGGUGAAAGCAGGGGAUCUUCAGACCUUGCGCGAUUGAAUGAGCCGAUGUCGGAUUAGCUAGUUGGCGGGGUAAAGGCCCACCAAGGCGACGAUCCGUAGCUGGUCUGAGAGGAUGAUCAGCCACACUGGAACUGAGACACGGUCCAGACUCCUACGGGAGGCAGCAGUGGGGAAUAUUGGGCAAUGGGCGCAAGCCUGAUCCAGCCAUACCGCGUGGGUGAAGAAGGCCUUCGGGUUGUAAAGCCCUUUUGUUGGGAAAGAAAAGCAGCAGGUUAAUACCCCGCUGUUCUGACGGUACCCAAAGAAUAAGCACCGGCUAACUUCGUG
rnacentral:rRNA from 1 species